AAUUCCUUCAAAGGGUCUGUGGAUUCUCUUGGCUUUCCAGAGCUACCAGGGGAUCUUCCUUCGCUCUUCACUGUGAGAACCUGCUGAGGUCCCUGAAAAUACAGUCUGUGAAAGUGUAGGGGCCACCUACUACUGUGAUUCCCAGGAGUUUCUCAUUCAAGUCCAUACUCAGCCUCCAACAAUUUAUGAAAAUUACUGUGUAAAGGUUCUGUCUACUUUAUGGCUUGAGUGCCUUCUGCUUCAGCUUACAGAAAUGAUGCCAUAGAAAAACAAGCACAUUCAAGAUAUGGGACAUGCUGUGUCUACCAUUCUAGACUUCUCCAAAUUGCAGUGCCAUAAACGAGGAUGGGGAUAUUCUAAAUUUUGAAAAAAGUACUAAAGAGACAUAACCAAAUGCAACAGGUAAACCUUGACUGGAUCUUGAAUUAAAAAGUCAUUUUAAA